GCACGUAAGCCUCUGAGAUUAAUUUCAUUUCUCAAAGCCAUCGAUCUUUAGAAUUUGGAACUGGAAGAUGGCGUUCGCUUCAACAAUUCGACGCUUUCUCUCAGGCUCAGCUUCUCCUACUCUCCAACCGCAGCUCUUCUCUUCUCGUCUCUACUCAACUCUCACUUCUCCAAAGCUUUUCGUCAGUGGCCUUUCAAGACUAACAACAGAUGAGAAGCUUAAAGAGGCAUUUUCUCCCUUUGGACAGCUUGUUGAAGCAAAAGUCGCAGUGGACAGGGUCUCUAGAAGAUCAAAGGGGUUUGGUUUUGUCACAUAUACAACAAUAGAAGAAGCAGAGAAGGCCAGAGAGGGGAUGAAUGCCAAAUUUUUGGAUGGAUGGGUAAUUUUUGUAGACCCUGCCAAGCCAAGAGAGCAGAGACCUCCACCAGCACCAGAGCCUUCUGAAACUGGUUUCAAAAUAAAUAAGACCAUUGGAUGGUGUGGGUGAUUGCAUUGGAAGUUUUGAUUUCAUUGUAGUGGAAGAGUUGCUCGAAAGCUAUACCCGAGAUUAGUCAAGAAUACAAUUUACAAUUUAAGUUGAGGAACAUGUUGAGUGAUUUAUUACAGACAAGCAUAACUUAUUAACCUUUUCUGUUGAUUUGUUUUAGCUUCCUUAUUGUGCGAUCCUGUAUUUGUUUUGGUUGAACCUCCAUUCAUGGGGCAUUGAACUUCUUUUGCCUCCUAUUAAGAU
rnacentral:misc_RNA from 1 species